rnacentral:rRNA from 1 species
CAUGGAGGGUGAGAAUCCCGUCUGUGAUCCGAUCGGUUUCAGUACGAUAGCGUUUCUAAGAGUCGAGUUGUUUGGGACUGCAGCUCAAAUUGGGUGGUAAAUUCCAUCUAAGGCUAAAUAUAGGCGAGAGACCGAUAGCGAACAAGUACCGUGAGGGAAAGAUGAAAAGAACUUUGAAAAGAGAGUUAAACAGUACGUGAAAUUGUUGAAAGGGAAACGAUCGAAGCCAGUCGUACUGACGGGAAAUCAACUUCUCGAGUGCUUGUCGUGAAUGACGUUGAGCUUCACGGCCUUCAUUGCUUGCGUUAUGGUGCUUUUGGGGUGUACUUUUCCGUAUGGUAAGUCAACAUCGAUUUUGAUCGUAAUAAAAUGAUCGGAGGAAUGUGGCUCUGAUCUCGUAUCGGAGUGUUAUAGCCUUUGGUAGAUGUGACGAUUGGGAUCGAGGAUUGCAGCGAAUACCCUUUGGGCUAUCCGUCUGACCUCUGAAAGUCGCUCGGGUGUCGAAAGCGUGCUUAUGACAUUCUAGUUGGCGGUCAAAAGGUUAGAACGUGAUUACAUUCGUUAAGGAUGUUGACGUAAUGG